rnacentral:tRNA from 1 species
GGCUCGGUAGUUUAGUUGUUAAAGCGCUCGUCUAGCAUACAAGAGUCCUGGGUUCGACUCCUAGCCGACCA